rnacentral:tRNA from 1 species
GGAGGAGUCGGAUAGUGGCCCAUUCCGCUUGCUUGGAAAGCAAGUAAGCCGCAAGGCUUGCGCGAGUUCGAAUCUCGCCUCCUCCG